rnacentral:lncRNA from 1 species
CCAUACAUGAAUAUAUAUAUAUUGUUUUGGUGUGGGGAUCUCAUUGGUUUCCAAGUUCUCAAACAGGAGGGUAGGGUGACCCCAGGGACUCCACCUAUAUUUCAUUUAAUUAGUUAUAAUUUGGGCCAUACAUGAAUAUAUAUAUUGUUUUGGUGUGGGGAUCUCAACCAUUUCCAAGUUCUCAAACAGGAGGGUUGCGGUGAUCACAGGGACUUCCCCUAUAUUUUAUUUGAUUUGUUAUAUUGUCCCAUACAUGAGUAUAUAUGGUUUAGGGGUAAGGAUCUUGACCAUUUCCAAGUUCUCAAACAGGAGGGUGUACAGUGACCUCAGGGACUCCC